AACGACUCUCGGCAACGGAUAUCUCGGCUCUCGCAUCGAUGAAGAACGUAGCGAAAUGCGAUACUUGGUGUGAAUUGCAGAAUCCCGUGAACCAUCGAGUCUUUGAACGCAAGUUGCGCCCCAAGCCUUCUGGCCGAGGGCACGUCUGCCUGGGCGUCACAAA
rnacentral:rRNA from 1 species